UUUGAGCUCAUUUCCUCUAUGCUAACGCUUAGUUUGAGUCGCUCCCUACAUGGGCGGGCUCUGGAAAGCUGCCCUCCUUCCGACGAAUCCCGGGGAAAGAACAUUCCUUCGCCCCUCCCUUCGAUCAGGACGGAGAGCACAAUCCCGCGGGAAAAUAGAAAGUCUGCGAGUGCCAGUAACAACCAACCUGGCGGCGCGCUAAGCGAAGAGGGAAAUGGGGAGUCUGCCCCUGGCUAGGCCGAGUGGACUAGUUGGCUUUGCAAGGCGAGGCGCAAACCUCCAGUUGUGGGCCCAAUAAUUGGCUCCAAAGGUGUGUCACAUCAGAACAAACAUUCUUUUGAUGGAUGCCUUUUUACUUGGAGGUAAAAACUGUAUUUGGUCAAGACUCUCCAUUCUGUACCUUGGAUGCUGGUGGGUGCAUGAAGUCCUUAAAGGGAACUAAAGCCUCCUUCAGAGCAGAACAGACUUCUGAAGAUGAGCAGGACAUGCAAACUAUUCUUUCAAAAACUGUGUGGGGCUCUGAUAGCCAACAAAUGAAACUGACAAGAAAUGAAAGGAACCUCUCAUAGAGCCCUUGUAUGCCACAUGCCUCAAAAACGCUUGGUGGUUCUAAAGUCUGAUCCAGAAGUGGUAGGAAGGCUUUCAUUGCUUUGAAGACAACCAGAAGUUCCAGGAAAUUUAUAUGUAAUUGUAUUGUUGAAGAGUCCACUUGCCCUGAAUCUGAUGUGUUCCUCAGUGGGCUUCCCAGCCUAGCAGAGAGGCGUCAGAAGGAGUCAUCAUUUGAAAAGGAAUCCCUUCCAGCAGAUUCCUCCAUGUAGACCACCAGGAUGCCAUUCAUUAGACCUAGGAGUAUUUGAAUGAGCCGGGCCGGUAGGGAUGGAUGCUGCUGGAAAUGGAGAACCAGGUCCCUGAUGUAUUGGAAGCAUUCCUGAGAUGAACUCACAUGAAAAACUUUUACCGAGGAGUGAAUGCAACGGUGGUCAGAAAAGAAUGGAAGAACAUGGUGCCUGGCCUGCCUUUAAAUAGCACACUGUUAAUCUCCAAAUGUUAACAUCAGGGAGACUACCAAUGGAAUAGUGGUGCUAGAAAAUACACAAGAGAAGAGCACCCCCCUCUUAAACACUUAAUUGCCAACUAUUAACGAACACCAAUUCACAGAACUAGAGUUUCAGCUGCUACUAUUUCUCCAUAUGUCUUUUGCCUCUCUCACAGGCCUAGGAACCAUUCCACACUCAGAUGAAAGGAUGUUCUCUCCCAACACCACACAAGCCACAAAUGAGGCCAACAGCUGUAGCAGUGACUAUUCCUGUAAUUAGUUACCACCAUUCUCUUCCUGGGUUUCUGUGCCUCUCUAAAGUGCAUGAUAGACAGGUACAGAUCAGAUUCUCAGGUGGAGGCAUGCAAUGAUGCAAUUUCCUAGUGCACUGUUUUUUUCCUCCAAUAAGUUACCAAACCAACUCAUGAUAUUGUCUACUGUAAGCUUAUUGUUGCUAUAUGCAUUCUUUAUUUCUGUACAUGAACCACAAUGAGCCUUGAGCUGGUUUGCUCCUGGAUCCUGCCAAUCCUCUUUCCUCCUCUUUGCUUGCAAGGAGAGAAAGUUAGGAGCUUCAUGAUUUGCAACAAGUCACAGUUGCUAUUUUGUCUGAAAGUGAUAAACUAGAUUAU